rnacentral:sRNA from 1 species
UCUGGUUUGGUCUGGUUUGUCAAAGCAGUCACAUCCAGGAGGCUUCCUCCAUUCUACCUUUGAAGCAACCAGGCCUAGGCCUUUUUCUGAACCUGUCAGAGUUAAUAUUAGUGUCUGCUCUCAGAAAAGGACAAAGCAGAUAUAGCUGUCUUCAUGGCCAUCAUCAUCGCUGAUGAGCCUACUUGUUCAGAACAGAACUGCCUGGAGCAACCUUGGCACCCAAGCUGUGGCCAAGCACGACAAUCAUUCUGGCCACUCAGUGCCUGCCUAUGAGGCUGCACAUCUGAGCUCUGUGUAGACAAGUGCAGCAAUUGAUUGUUGAUGUCUGCCAUAGGUACUGGCAAGGAGGGUAGAGUACAUACUGCCAGAGGCUAACUCUGUGAUACCUUCCCCACUAAAAUUCACGAUGAAUCUCUCUGAGGUAGAUCUGAGGGAUGUGUGGAAUGAAAUAAAGUGUGUGCUUUGGGUUGUUUUGUUUUGUUUUGCGGAAGUUUGGGUUUUGCUGGAGGCCCACACUUUGGAAGGCAUCUGAAGAUAGUAUUCUCCACCCAGAACAUUCCCACAAACUCCUGCCUACUUUCUCAGGCUCACUAAUUAAGAAAAUGACCUACAGGCUUGCCUUUUAUGGAGACAUUUUCUCAAUUGAGGGUCCCUCCUCCCCGGUGACUUUAACUUGUGGCAUAAAACUAGCCAGGACAUCUUUCCUCUCCCCUUAAUCCUGUCAGUGCUAAGAAACUCAUAGAAUUACACACACACAGGAACAAUGCCCCUUCACAUGGAGAAACUGGGGCACUGAAGGAUGAGCAGAUUAAUGUCUUUUUAAAACCUUUUUGUAUUUUUAAUUUUUUACCGUGUGUCUAUAUAGGGGUGCGUGCAUGUCAGUGCAGUGCCCAGAGAGGCCACAAGAUGGCAUUAGAUUCUGUGGAGCUGGAGUUACAGGUGGCUGUGAUCUGGGCACUAAAGUUGGGGUGCCCUUAACUGAGCUGAGCCACAUUUCCAGCCUGAGUCCCAUCUUUAAGUGCUUUGGUACAGGAUCUAGCCCAGAAUAGCAGGGGCUGGCAGAGUCCAGCCUUGUCCACAUCUUUGUGUUGCUUCAGAGAGCCAAAGAUCUAGCAAUGUGUGCAGGAAGAAUAAGGGACCCAAAGGCCUCCAACUCCUGGGAUUGAUGAGGCCACAGGAAGCUCUCAGCCCAAUGGAAGCCAGCUGGCAGCAGGUGAGCAGCUACCUCACCCAUCAGCACCUCUGGAAGCAGGAACCAGCUCUGAGCUUCUACACCCUCAUUGCCAGGGGCCCAGCCGCAGGAACACCUGUUGGCCAAUGGAGCCUUGAAUCCCUACUUGGUUGCUAGUCCCCUCCCGCAUGUCCCGGAGCCCCCUGGGAGAGGAGGUUCCCUGGGUUAAUAUCUCGAGCUAAUGAGGGGUAGCCGGUGGGAAAGGUAAGGUCUACUUGAUCUGGGUCUUGGAAGGAAGCCAGGGUCUCUCUGGUCAUUGAUUCUCUUUCCAGGUUCGCGUGCCAUGUGGGGAGAUUAAGAUGUACAGCCUGCAAAUGGGCUAACCUUUCCCAGGCUUUUAAUGAGCCUUCCUGUACUGUAGCUGUUUCUCUUUCUUGUGUGUGUGCGUGCUCACACGUGCGUGCAUACACUCCCUAAUGAAGCCCAUAUGGAAAUACAUACCUGCUCCACUCUAGUCUUCAAGCAGCCCUUACAAUGGGAACGACUUUUCCCCCUUCGAAUUUAAACCCUCGGUUCGCCGACAUGCGUUUCCAGUAAGCCCAGAAAGCGGAUUCAGAGAACAAGCCAGGCUUCCUCAUAGAACAUGCUAGAAGGGCACCAACAGUCCCAGGCACUAUGGGAGCCCCUCGUAAGCCAAAGGGUUCCCAGAAUUCCCAGUGCAUCUCAGACUUCCCUGUAGAUGAAUUAACAUGAACAUAUAUAGACCCUAGGGAGAGAGAGCUUCAUCCACUGCAUUCCUGGGACACUGGACUCUAGAGAGAAAAUUUUACUCUCUUGAUAACACCAGUUCAAGGUUUGGAGGGGUGGGAGCAGAUUCUGAAGUUCUCUAAUCCAUGACCCCUCCACACACCCAUUCUAGUCUCCAUCAGGGCUGCCAGCAGAAGUUUUUAUCACCACCUCAUCUCCAUCCCAGGUUAGGGGACUGUUAGGGCCGCUUUUGUGCCUCUGUGGCAAGAGGAGAGGGAAAGGAAUGAGGAGAGGACAUCAAGAUUAAGCCGUGAACGAAGCCAGCUGAUGGAAAUCCCCGGAAACCCUUCCCCACCUGGGCUAAAUUUGAGAAACAGGGAGCCUUCCACGAGUCAAGAGACACAGGGGCAGAAGGCACAUGCUGUGUAUGUGAGUUAUAAAAGGCCCUGUGCCUGAGGGUCUGUACCACCUUCCCCAGCUCAGAAGCCCAUAUUGGCUUUCAGGACUGCACUUCUCUCAAUAGACUGCCUGUUUCUAUUGUCCAGUCUCGUGCCAGGGCCACAAGAACCUGACAACAUCAACAGGUGUCUCCCAGACUCUCACCCACACUUACAGCAGCACCCUGACCAUACAACUUUAAAAGGACGAAUUUGACUUGGGAUUGUCAGGGGUUCAGAAUAGUGGGACAUGGAAAUGUUCACAGAAGUGGGUAGCUGUGAUUUCUCCAUCACCACAGACAAGAAAGCAGGGGAGGGUGGUACAAUGCUCAGAGCCUGCUCCUAGAGGCCUACUUCUUCCACCCUGGCCUUUUAAAGGCUCCUCCUGAUGCCUUCAAAUUAGCACUGCCAGCUAGGGACCAAACCCUGAAAACAGGAGCCUCUGGGGAACAUUUCAGAGUCGAAGGUCAACAAGGCCCUUAGGAUGGUAAGUUUCCCAGCAUCUCAAGCUAGUCUGAGAAACGGGAGCUUCGGGACUCAAGGUAUCAAACAGUGAACAGUUGCUGAGAAAUGGAAUUCUCAGGCCUAACUCAAGGCCUAGGGGAAAUCCUGAGAACGGGUGGCCACCAGCAAGACAGCAAUAACGGGAAGGCCAUGGGUGAGAGAAGUCAAAACGGAAGCAGCCAAGGCUGUAAUCAGAAGCAGAGUCCUAGUACUUCCUGGUAAAGAGAGGAAUAAAAGGCCAGGGAGCCAUUGAGGAAAAAGGCAACAAAAUGCAAGAGAAGGGACCAUGGAUUUAAAUUUUUAACAUCCAGAGGAGACAGAGGGAGCUCCAGGGGGGAAAAGGAGCGUGGCACUCAUAAUUCAGGGGAAGGUGAGUGAGCAGAGUUGCCACUAAGAUGGGGAAAAUUCAAUGGGUCCAAACCGUAGGGUAAGAUACGUGCUGGAUCCAGAAGAACUAAGACAGUCCUCGCUGGUUCCUUGUGAAGCAUGAUGGGUAGGAAACCGGAAGAGGAAGCAGGAACCCGUGGCAGAAAGAUGAGCAGAGGGCAUGCGCAGGAGUCAGGACCGAGGGGAGGGGGUGGAGGCAAGCUCACAGAAAACAACACGUUGAUGCCCUAGAAUGAAAGCAAAGCAAUCAAACCAAAGUCAGGGCGCUUUUGCUAAAAAUGACUGUUGGCUGCUUCGUUUCAGUCCCUGUGACACUCAAGAGCUUCUUGUGCUGCGAGUAGCUACAUCCAACGAGAAAAUGAGAAACCUAAAGAGAUGAGAGCCAGGAUGUACGAUUUAAUUGAACUAAAGACGCCAUCCCUAGCAGGGUGACCCCUACCAUAUUAAAUACACGGAGACAAAUCUCAAUUUCUCCACUCCCCUAUGCCCCGGGAGCUGACCCCUACGCCGUUGGAUGAGGGCAGGGUAAGCGUCCCAUUCAUAUUUUAUAAGUUUGUUUAAUGGAGCCUGAUUUUUUUGGGUUAUGUAUUUUUAAAGACCACACGGCUUAGAUUGAUGGAGCUGCUACUUCUGACAAACCAGGGAGCUGGAGGCAGCCCAGCCCUUCUGGGGUCAAGAGGGACAAUGGGAAGGAGACACGGAUGGACGGAGCUACCUCAAUGCCUGCAGAGUGGAACUGGUACAAUAAAUUAUGUCUUCCCCUA